rnacentral:tRNA from 1 species
GGGCGCGUAGCUCAGCGGCAGAGCACACCCUUCACACGGGUGGGGUCGUAGGUUCAAUCCCUACCGCGCCCACCA